ensembl:lncRNA
GUAGUGUUUGUCCUUGCUGUACCUCCCCUACUAGCCUCUCCUCCAAGCCUCACCAGUCAGUGCUUUCGUCAGCCUGUUGGCAUCAGUUCAGAUGUCUGAGAGAGGCCCUGCUACACAUCCAUCCUGCUGUGCUUGCCUUUGGCAGAGCACUGCUCAGCUGACUGUGAUCCACAGAGAAAUUCAGCGAUGCUGGGAGAAAAGCAGUCCCAACCAUCAGUGCCUGAUCCUGCUGCUGUUCCUCUUUGAGCACUUCCCAGAGCCUCCUCUAAAAGGGGCAUUAACUGAUGGCAACACCUGAACCUUGGACUGCUUUCAUUCAGCAUUAAGAGCCUUGACAACUACUUGCUAGCUCUGCACAGGAACCUCGUAUUGACUGAGAAGGCUUGACAUGCUCUUCCAGAGCUGGAUAACUGCUGGCACUGCAGCAUUCCAGGGCCAUGUUCAUAGGCAUGCAGAAUAUAUUUCUGUCUUUGGAUAUUUUAGAGUCAGUUGAGCUGCAGUCCUGCAGCAGGAAAGCUGGAGAAUAUGUAUUUUGUCUACUGAGUUUUGCAAUCCUUGGAGCAGAGCACUGCGUACUAUUAAAGAAUACGAAGCAUUAAAGCGCUGGCGGCCGUGGGAUGCGGCCAUGGAGCAGCCCUGCACACCCACACGGUGAAGUCAGGGGAUUCGCGGUCAGAAAAGCCCUCGUACUCCUGACAGACUGUCGCAGUUCAGGCCGGAACCUCCCCCCUCCUGCCGCCCCGCGUGGAAGCAGUUAACAGCCAGCAGCCUCCGCCCUGCCCGAG